UACGUAGGGGGCAAGCGUUGUCCGGAAUCAUUGGGCGUAAAGCGCGCGUAGGCGGUUACUUAAGUCGGAUGUGAAAGCCCUCGGCUUAACUGAGGAAGUGCACCCGAAACUGAGUAGCUAGAGUACGAAAGAGGGUCGCGGAAUUCCCGGUGUAGAGGUGAAAUUCGUAGAUAUCGGGAGGAACACCGGUGGCGAAGGCGGGUUGCUGGGCUGACACUGACGCUGAGGCGCGAAAGCUAGGGGAGCGAACGGG
rnacentral:rRNA from 1 species